GCGCCUCGCUCAUUUGCUGGCAUGCUUCGCCCCCCACAGCGCAAACCUAGCUCUCUUUCACCUCGACCCCCACAGCGCAGCGCAUCACCACUCACUCCUCCCUCAUCAGCCGCCGCCAGGUCUUCUCGCUGGGGUCGAAUAGUAGGGGAUCCGGCCGGAUCCGAGGCGUGCGGGCGUGGUGGCGGGCAUCUUUGGCAGCGGCGGCGGCGGGCAUCUCCGGCAAAAAGCGAUGGCGGGGAUGCUCGAUUCGCCAUGGACCGGUCCCUGCAGGAGAGAGAAAGAAAGAGAGGAGGGAGAAAGCGAGAGGAAAGAGGAGAGGGAGGUGCGACGGCGGGCGGGAGAGGGUCUCCGGCCGAUGCGAGACAUUCACGUCUCUCCUCCUCUCCUGCUCUCGACCACCACCGUGGCCCUCCUUCUCCCCUUCAAUUCCCUGUCUCCUCUUCUCUGGAGUUACCUGAGUGGUCAACACCGAGAAAGAUGGGGAAGACAGAGCGAGUGAGGAAGACGGCUUGACUCUGCCGCCGAUGCUGACCGGCCAAUUCUGUCGGGCGCCGUCAUGGGAGGAGGCGAACCAUCGAGGAGCAGCACGGGAGGAGAUAAAGAUAAGCCGCCGGACUCCCUGUUCACUUCUGGUUGCAUCUUGCCCGUGAGCUCCUUCUUCUUACAGCCAGCUUGGCCCUUUUCUUGCCAUGUUUUGGGUGAUGCAGCGUAUCAAGCAGGCGAGGGUGAGGAUCAGAUGUGGUAGCAGCUGAAGGAGUCAUGGAGAGGUGGCGAGAGUGGGCAGCGGCUGUCGGCCAAGAAGGAAGAGGCUGGGACGAGGACCGGAGGAGGAGGUUCUCAUGGUGGAGUAUAGGAGGACGGAGGCGGAGUGCUGCUGCAACGGCUGUGGGACUGGGCGAAAGGAUGAAAUUAUUGUUUACUUUAGAUUGGGGCGGUGGAGCCAAUGAAAAAAGAUCACUGCAGCUUUGAAUGUAGGCACAAGUCAAAUGAAACUAUUGGAUGGAGCAAUUCAGUGCGGUGGGGUACAGGGGCUCGUGCAGGAGUAUAUAUAACAGCAGAGUUCAUCUCUGUUUUGCUGACAAUUCACACUGAAACUGUUGAAAAGUAGAUAAUCAGCCAAUAAACAGUAAAUCAUCACAUCUAUUUGCUUUCCUGGUAUAUGGGGCCAUUAUUAUUCUGGUACUUCUAAAGAGUCAUUAUUCUUAUGGUACUUCUAAAUUUGCAUAUCUUUGUGUUCAGAUGGAAGUCACCUGGCAAAGGUCUAAUGUUUCAGAUUUAAUGUUACAUACAUGCCCAAUAGUAAUACGUUAUAUAAUAUACUCUAGACUGUAUUCUUAUUUAGUUUUUUUCAUGCUUCUUGUUUCACUAGGCUAUUGCAAAGACGACAUAUCCACUUGGAGUUGGAUAUUAUUUUGAUAACCAUAUCUAGCUAUUUUUACAAAAUAAUAUCAAUUAACUUGCAUCGAUUCAAUGCUAGAGCGUAGUCAUGAAACAUUGCCACUGCGCCACAAGGCGAUUAAAAUCAUGGAAAUUGAUAUAAAAGUUACUUGUGAUUUCUAUAGUCAUGUAAUCACAAACCAUAAUGAUAAAAAAGCCAAAUCGUUUAUUUUAUUGGAGAACACAUCAACUAUAUGGAGAAUCAAAUUUUGCUGACAAUUCACACUGAAACUGUUGAAAAGUAGAUAAUCAGCCAAUAAACAGUAAAUCAUCACAUCUAUUUGCUUUCCUGGUAUAUGGGGCCAUUAUUAUUCUGGUACUUCUAAAGAGUCAUUAUUCUUAUGGUACUUCUAAAUUUGCAUAUCUUUGUGUUCAGAUGGAAGUCACCUGGCAAAGGUCUAACGUUUCAAAUUUAAUGUUAUAUACAUGCCCAAGAGUAAUACGUUAUAUAAUAUACUCUAGACUGUAUUCUUAUUUAGUUUUUUUCAUGCUUCUUGUUUCACUGGGCUAUUGCAAAGACAACAUAUCCACUUGGAGUUGGAUAUUAUUUUGAUAACCAUAUCUAGCUAUUUUUACAAAAUAAUAUCAAUUAACUUGCAUCAAUUCAAUGCUAGAGCGGUAGUCAUGAAACAUUGCCACUGUGCCACAAGGCGAUUAAAAUCAUGGAAAUUGAUAUAAAAGUUACUUGUGAUUUCUAUAGUCAUGUAAUCACAAACCAUAAUGAUAAAAAAGCCAAAUCGUUUAUUUUAUUGGAGAACACAUCAACUAUAUGGAGAAUCAAAGGUGAAUGUAAAUGAAACGCUCCAUGUAUGUUUAGGCUCCAAUAUAAGAUUAAAAUAGUGGAUAAAUCAUUGUACCAUAUUCAAUUAGAACUACAAAGAAGAAGAGAAAUGGUUGAAUAGCAAAUUCUGACCGGCCAAUUCCGUCGGGCACCGUCAUGGGAGGAGGCGAACCAUCGAGGAGUAGCAUGGGAGGAGAUGAAAAUAAGCUGUCGGACUCCCUAUUCACUUCUGGUUGCAUCUUGCCUGUGAGCUCCUUCUUACAGCUAGCUUGGCCCUUUUAUUGUCAUGUUUUGGGUGUUCCUUCCUACAGCCAGAUUGGCCAUUUGCUUUGGAAGUAGUAAUUCAACUCAGAAAGCAUAAAUAAUUUGAGACUGCUUCUGUCCUCCCUACAAUUUGUUGAAGUCAUCAUUCUUUUUUCUUUUUUCUGUAGUUUUUCCUCAUCUUUUACAGUUUAUUUGGGUUAUUUCAUUCUCUGGUACUUGGGCAUAUUGGUUGUCUUGUUGUCUCCUUUUACUAACAGUAUUUCCUAUUCAGUGUAUGGGAGAGGUUACUAGCUCACAUAUAUAGUUUAGUUAUUAAGUUUCUAAAUAAGUUCAACCUCAGAGCUCGGAUUUUGUACGCUUCAAAAUUGGAGUGUGACUUUUGCUUGCUAGUUGAUACAGUUAUGGUGUGGAUGCCUACUACUCAAAAUGAUUUUAUAUCGUAUCAUAAAUUUCAGGAACCGUAUCAGAACAAAUCAUUGGCAUUGCAGCUUCAGGGACAUGUAUGAUGCAUAUCCCAUCACUGAACAAGAUUGGAUUUUAGUGUAUACAAGCCAUCCUACUCGCUGCCUCCUCAGCUACUCAGAUAGUUAUUCCUUCUCAUUAUCAGUGAGAUUCUCUGAUAUUUGAUGCAAAAUAUUGAUGGUCGGGUGAAUGCAGUGGACUCGUCGAGAUCGAGGGCACCAACGACAUAUGCCGAGGGCGUCCAUCGACAACCUGCCCAAUGUCCGGAUUCACCGAGUACAACUAGAGACACUAUUGGUUGCCUGCAGGCCUGUGAGUUGAGUUGCUGCUUGGUUGGAGAUGUUGAUGUUGUUCGAGACGCCCGCUGGAUUCACCCUUUUCAAGGUUCUGAAUAAGGGAAAGCUCGACAAGGUCGAGUGGUACAUGUAUGAUCUUCAUGGAGAUAGCCAUCAUUGGAUUUGGUAAUACAUAAUCACUUAUUCAGAGAGCCCAAGGUGAGAAGGGACGAGCAUCUAGAACACCACCACCUACUAAUCAGCGAGCUACUAUCUGUCUUUGAAUGAGUUACUUAACAAGAGAAGGCAGGAGUUUCCUACCUUUCUUCUGCAAAUCCGGAAUGCCUUUAUGGCAUGAUCAUGUGAAAAAGUACCUUGAUGCAGUAAUGGAUUUGAUUAUCACUGGUUACUCUGUUUUCACGAAUUACUAUCCAACUAGCAUGGAAGAACCAAAAGGUAGUUGAUCAGCAGGAUGGCAAGAGGAAGACAAGAACCAAAUUAAAGUUUGUUGUUGUGCAUGUCUGUAUCUAUCAAGAUUCAGUGCUAUGUAGAAAUGUCCCUGAGAUUUCUUUCACUCAACUGAGACCAAACAAUCAGGAACACAAGUAGGAUAGUUGAUGAUUUUUUCAUUUUUCUUCUGAUAAAAAGGAAUCUUCAUCUGCCAAGAAUACGGCCUACAAGCAUGUAUGCCUAAUUACCUAUAUGCUGAUUUAACGAGCUCACAUACAUGUCCAUUUCUGAAAAUAGUUUACCCAUCCUCAAACAUAUAACUUGUGUGUUGUUGCUUUCCAUUAUAUUGAGAAAAACAUAUGUUUCAUUGGACCUUUUA